GCACAUUUUGUGCCCUCCCCACCUCCCAAUUGCCUCAGUUACAAGUCGGAGGGCAGGCUCGGUGAUCAAGACUGGCAAGCACAUUUUAAGGUCCCAUGCUGUGGCGUUGACCCAUCUCAACUUGAGUCAGAAGAGGCAGAAGUGGAUGUGAGAGAAAGAGACACACAGAGAGACAGAGAGCCAAAGAGGGCAAGAGACUUGACUUUAAGAGACUCCUGUACUGACAACUCCAUGCAGUUCGGAACCAGAACGACUGCGGCUGAACCAGGGUUCAUGGGGACAUGGCAAAACGCUGAUACUAACCUCUUAUUCAGAAUGUCCCAACAGGUAAGUUACUUUCAUUUUUUUAAAAAAAAAGAAAUCUCGAGUUGUUAUUUGCCCUUUUCUUCCUGCUACUUUUCUUUCUAAAUGUUUUUGAAAUUUAAAAAUAUAUAUAUUGUGAUUUCUGUGUUACUGGAAUGUGCAGUGUUACUUCAUGGCUUCCCCAAGGGCUCCUUAAGGAAAAGGGGGAAAGGACAUCGAAGUUAGAGAAAGCAAAGGCAUUUGUUGCAAAGUUUCACCCUGUGCAGCCUGGGUCCUGCGAAGCCUUAAUUUAUUUCUUUGUUUCCCG
rnacentral:lncRNA from 1 species